rnacentral:tmRNA from 1 species
ACGCUUCCUUCCUUGCCUUGCCGCCCCUAUAUUCGACUCGUUCGGGGCUUGCUCCGGACUAUGGCGAUAAACGCGCAGAGAUAGGCGGAUCGGACCCGGGUGCGAUGCCCGGCGGCUCCACCAGUUCAUCCCUCAUUCGGGGAUUAUGGGGCCGAAAUAGGAUCGACGGACGUUGAAGGCUGAUGCUUUUGCUCGGGUGGUCCCGUCACAGGCCAAACAGCAUAGUUGCGAAUGACAACAACGCUGAAGAGUUCGCCCUCGCUGCGUAAGCAGUGCGAGUGAUCUCGACCUAAGUCCUUACGAGUAGCAUCCUAAGGCGGGGCCCCCCGGCGCCCGGCAACAGAAGCCGGGGAUU